AAAAACAACUGCACUUAACUGAAAUAGAUCAUUGCAGUGUUCACUCAUAUACAACACAGACGAGCGCUAGUUGUUCAAAAAAGAAUAUAAAUAACAGAAGUGCAGCAGCAAAGCGUUUAGUCGUCACGCAUAGCAAGCUAAUAGGUCUAUAAAAGUUGAACAUUCUCCAAAAGGCGGGCAUCAUCACACCUUGCAAUAUAACCUUAGUUGUUCCCUGCAGAACAUAAGUACUGUUAAGCAUCACACAGAACACACAGUGAACAUAGAAUAACAUAAGAGUGAAGCACUACCUUAGACCUCCCACUUCAUUCAUAGUGAAUCGCGGAUCGCUUAACCAUUCAAAGAAAAAAUAACUCACUAAUUAAGAGUACCCUAUGAACAGGAAACUGCAAAAGCAUUCUGCAGAGAAGCAUAUCAACAUUCAAGUAAACUAUACAAACUGAGAAACCAUAAAAAGAAAAUGACCUUAUGAAGUAUAAGCAAUAAGCUAUGCAAAAUAAAGUCUAAAUCAUAAUUGGACGUAUCAAAUCAAGACUACGACGCGAGGCUACCAACACGACCAACCUAGUGCAAAUGAAAACAUAACCACGACUUCAAAGAGGCCACACCCAUCCGAACAACUAUUAACAACAAACUACAAUUGAGAACUAAACCAAAUCCUAUUCACAGAAACAAGCUAAGAAAACCUACAAAAGAUUAGCUCGGGAGGCUACCAAUACGACCAAAUCACAGUUAUAAUACUCAGCCUGUGGCAGACCUAGAAUUAGCUUAACUAAUACAACAUCCAGG
rnacentral:lncRNA from 1 species